CCAAUAGCGUAUAUUAAAGUUGUUGCAGUUAAAAAGCUCGUAGUUGAAUUUCGGGAUCAGUACGCUGGUCGUGCCUUCGGUAUGAACUGGUGUCACUGGUUCCUCCCUUCUGAAGGACCGUCAUGCCAUUCAGUUGGUGUGGCGGGAAAUCAGGACUGUUACUUUGAAAAAAUUAGAGUGUUUAAAGCAGGCUCGCGCUUGAAUACAUUAGCAUGGAAUAAUGAAAUAGGACGUUUGACCCUAUUUUGUUGGUUUCUAGGAUCGACGUAAUGAUUAAUAGGGAUAGUUGGGGGCAUUAGUAUUCAAUUGUCAGAGGUGAAAUUCUUGGAUUUAUUGAAGACUAACUACUGCGAAAGCAUUUGCCAAGGAUGUUUUCAUUAAUCAAGAACGAAAGUUAGGGGAUCGAAGACGAUCAGAUACCGUCGUAGUCUUAACCAUAAACUAUGCCGACUAGGGAUCGGAUGAUGUUAAUUUUUUAAUGACUCAUUCGGCGCCUUACG
rnacentral:rRNA from 1 species